AAUCAACGCUGGCGGCGUGCCUAACACAUGCAAGUCGCACGAGAAAGGGACUUCGGUCCUGAGUACAGUGGCGCACGGGUGAGUAACACGUGAAUCAUCUACCUUCGAGUGGGGAAUAACUGAGAGAAAUCUUAGCUAAUACCGCAUAAUACCUACGGGUCAAAGAUUUAUCGCCUAGGGAUGAGCCCGCGUAGGAUUAGCUAGUUGGUGAGGUAAAAGCUCACCAAGGCGACGAUCCUUAGCUGGUCUGAGAGGAUGAUCAGCCACACUGGGACUGAGACACGGCCCAGACUCCUACGGGAGGCAGCAGUGGGGAAUAUUGGACAAUGGGCGAAAGCCUGAUCCAGCAAUGCCGCGUGAGUGAUGAAGGCCUUAGGGUUGUAAAAGCUCUUUUACCCGGGAUGAUAAUGACAGUACC
rnacentral:rRNA from 1 species